GGCGAACGCUGGCGGCGUGCCUAAUACAUGCAAGUAGAACGCUGAAGAGAGGAGCUUGCUCUUCUUGGAUGAGUUGCGAACGGGUGAGUAACGCGUAGGUAACCUGCCUUGUAGCGGGGGAUAACUAUUGGAAACGAUAGCUAAUACCGCAUAACAAUGGAUGACACAUGUCAUUUAUUUGAAAGGGGCAAUUGCUCCACUACAAGAUGGACCUGCGUUGUAUUAGCUAGUAGGUGAGGUAAUGGCUCACCUAGGCGACGAUACAUAGCCGACCUGAGAGGGUGAUCGGCCACACUGGGACUGAGACACGGCCCAGACUCCUACGGGAGGCAGCAGUAGGGAAUCUUCGGCAAUGGGGGCAACCCUGACCGAGCAACGCCGCGUGAGUGAAGAAGGUUUUCGGAUCGUAAAGCUCUGUUGUAAGUCAAGAACGGGUGUGAGAGUGGAAAGUUCACACUGUGACGGUAGCCUACCAGAAAGGGACGGCUAACUACGUG
rnacentral:rRNA from 1 species